UGAGGAAUAUUGGGCAAUGCCCGCAAGGGUGACCCAGCAACGCCGCGUGGAGGAUGAAUGUCGUAAGAUUGUAAACUCCUGUUAGAGGGGAAGAAUAGUACCGGUUGGACCGGUAUAUGACUGUACCCUCAGAGAAAGCCCCGGCUAACUACGUGCCAGCAGCCGCGGUAAUACGUAGGGGGCAAGCGUUGUCCGGAUUUACUGGGUGUAAAGGGCGCGCAGGCGGGAUAAAAAGUCAGUGGUGAAAUCCUACAGCUUAACUGUAGAACUGCCUUUGAUACGUUUAUUCUUGAGUUCGGGAGAGAGAGACGGAAUUCCAGGUGUAGUGGUGAAAUACGUAGAUAUCUGGAAGAACACCAGUUGUGAAGGCGGUCUCUUGGUCCGACACUGACGCUGAGGCGCGAAAGCGUGGGGAGCAAACA
rnacentral:rRNA from 1 species